UACGAAGGGGGCUAGCGUUGCUCGGAAUUAUUGGGCGUAAAGCGCGCGCAGGCGGUUCCUUAAGUCUGAUGUGAAAGCCCACGGCUCAACCGUGGAGGGUCAUUGGAAACUGGGGAACUUGAGUGCAGAAGAGAAGAGCGGAAUUCCACGUGUAGCGGUGAAAUGCGUAGAGAUGUGGAGGAACACCAGUGGCGAAGGCGGCUCUUUGGUCUGUAACUGACGCUGAGGCGCGAAAGCGUGGGGAGCAAACAGG
rnacentral:rRNA from 1 species